rnacentral:rRNA from 1 species
AUACGUAGGGAGCGAGCGUUGUCCGGAAUUACUGGGCGUAAAGGGCGCGUAGGCGGCGCUUCAAGUCGUCUGUCAAAUGGAAGGGCUUAACCCUUUUUCGCAGACGAAACUGGAGAGCUUGAGAAGCAGAGAGGCAAACAGAAUUCCUGGUGUAGCGGUGAAAUGCGUAGAUAUCAGGAAGAAUACCAGUGGCGAACGCGGUUUGCUGGCUGCAUCCUGACGCUGAAGCGCGGAAGCCAUGGGAGCGAACGGGAUUAGAUACCCCGGUAGUCCUGGCAGUAAACGAUGUAUGCUGGGUGUGAGACUAGCGAUAGUUUCGUGCCGAAGUUAACGCGAUAAGCAUACCGCCUGGGGAGUACGGUCGCAAGAUUGAAACUCAAAGGAAUUGACGGGG